AGAUUGCUUCAUGAGAUGUGGGGUAACCAAGCUCUUUCCCCACCACCUGUUCCUUUAGGAACUACUCCGGUCACCAUUUAGCCUCCGUUUACGACUCUUCAGUUUCGUUUCCAUCUUCUUUCAGUUGCACUUCCAAAGUAAGGGUUAUUAGUGAAUCGAAUUUGUGCAAGAGUAUGAUGAACAAGUCUAGACAAAGUGCUCGAUGUUCCAGAAACAGUCUAAAGAUGAAGAAUGUUAUCAAUUCUCUGUCGUCCCCUGUCUGCAUCUGUUUCUUGGAAUCCAGUGAGGAGCUUUGUUUUAGCUUUCAACUCUGUUUCUCCAAUCUUCCAAGAUUUGAAAGUUUGUGAUAACAGAUGCUUGGCUGUAGCAGAAUUAGCUUUACCAGAAGACAAAGGUGAUUCAGUUUUAUGCUGUGGCAUUCAUUGGCCCCGAAGACUCAAACAAUCAUGUUUUGAUACAGACCUACACGAGGGUUGUUGCUGUUGCAACUCAUAAAGGCAUAGGAAAGAUGGCAAAGCUGGUACUCUUGUGGUGAUUCCAUGUUUGUUGAAUUAUCUGAGAAUGAAACAAAAGGGUUUGAAUCAGCUUUGAUUUCCUUUCAUUCGUGUAAAGUAUAACUAGAUGUUUCCUG